CGCACAUUGCGCCCGCCAGUAUUCUGGCGGGCAUGCCUGUUCGAGCGUCAUUACAACCCUCAGGCCCCCGGGCCUGGCGUUGGGGAUCGGCGAGGCGCCCCCCGUGGGCACGCGCCGUCCCCCAAAUACAGUGGCGGUCCCGCCGCAGCUUCCAUUGCGUAGUAGCUAACACCUCGCAACUGGAGAGCGGCGCGGCCAUGCCGUAAAACACCCAACUUCUGAAUGUUGACCUCGAAUCAGGUAGGAAUACCCGCUGAACUUAA
rnacentral:misc_RNA from 1 species